rnacentral:lncRNA from 1 species
UAACAUUUCCGUGUUAAAUUGUCAUUUCGUUUCGUUAUCAAAUAACUGACAAUUUAUCGCCCUUUGUUUCAACACGCCAUUUGUAAACAUGAAAGGUAGUGAGAAAGGAAACUUUUAAACAGUUAUUUGACGAUUAAUUUAAAAGGGAUAAUGAAUGGCAUUGCGCGAUUUACAGAAUGGCUGAAGGAUGAAAGAAUUUCCAGAAAAAUAAAGUUCUUUAUGAAAUUGUGAAUGGAAAUGAAACCCAAGGAACUAAUAUAUUUGCUUACCAUCCAGUUGAAAGUAUGUUAAUGGAAUAAAGUGCAACUGUCACAGAAGUGCACAAAAAAGGUCAUGCUUUCUGCAAAUGUUCACCAAGCUGAUUCAAACUACAAAUGGGAGUCAGUCAAGAAAAAAAAGUAAAACUAGCUGAACUGUCACAGUUCAACUGUGAGAAAUGUUUGGUAAUAAUAUGUUUUGUUGCCAGAACAGCAGUGAAGUGGUUAGAGUAAAACUGUCUUAAUUGUUUAAGCAAUACAGAAUGUUUUGUUUAAAACUUACUCCAUGCAUAAAAUAUCUUGAGUGCUCUUUUUUAUUUAAAUGAUCAUACAGUUUCAAGAAAUUUGACAAUAAAUGCAACUUCUAUUUUUAUAAGAAAAUUGUACAUUGUUGCCAUGGUAUUAAACAUAAAUGUGACUAUAAAUUAUUGUAAAACAUCUUUCAUGUUUAUAUGUUCUAUUUUUUAAAAAUAAAUAAUGUAUGGUCAUAUUCUUUUCUAAGUAAUAACUGCAUCAACAAAACAUUGUUAUCAUAUGAAUCUGCCUUAAACUAGCAAGAGUUGUAACUGUGUCGUGUGUAUCAGAAAAUUGUGUAUAUCCCAUACAGUGUCACAUCAGUUUACAUGAAAUGAGGUUUUCUUUCUUUUUAAUAUGAAAGUAGACAGCUUUCUAUGUAAAUAGUAUUUUGAAGAACACUUUAACAUAUUCAAUUUUUUCAAGAACUUGAUAGAAAUGGUACUUUUUGUAAGAAAAUACAUAAUUGUUGCCAUGGUAACGAGUCACUGAUGAGUAUGACAUCUGUACUACUACUUUAAGCAAAAUCAGUUUAUAAUAUUUCUGAUAAUUAUAUCUUUUUGCCUGAUUUUCUGUCUAACAGUUACAAAGAAAUAUGCCAAUGAGUCAAGUGUUCUAACAACAAGGUUAAUGCCCUAGUUUUGUCAUGUUAUCUAACUCGAUAUCCAGUAAAGCUAUUUUUGUAUAAAAGAAAGCCAUAAGAUUUUUGCAAAAAAAUGUUAUUUUUAAACUCUGUUUGUACACUAGAAAAUGUUGACAGUAUAUUAACGUUACUUUCUAGAUGUUAAUUUUGACUGGAUUUACCAAGGAACUAUUAAAAUUGGAUUUAACAACUGUGUUGCCAUGGAAACGAUUUUUAGGGGAAAAUGAUAUGUGCUAAUAUGAAAGAAAGAAACAGAAAUAAAGAAAUUUAAUUAACUGCA